GCUAGGGUUUGUGAGUCUUCCUCUCUUGAUCGAGCCAGGAUGUGGCACGAAGCUCGGCGAUCCGAGAAGAAAGUCCAUGAUAUCAUGGACGCUGCCCGCAAGCGCGCGGAGCGGCGGGCGGUGUUCUUCGCAAAGCGCCGGGGCGAUCCGCAGCAACAGCUCAAGAUCACGGGAACGCGAUGCCGGAUGUACGUCGAUCAGGCGAUGUACCAGGCGACGCAGGAUCAGCACGGCCUGAUCCCGUGGAUCGGCAAGAAGGAUAAUCUGAUUGAUAGAUUUGAUGGGAGGGCACUCCUGGAUUUCAUCCGGGAGAGCGAUAAGUCGAGGCGGCACGAGAAGACCGAAGAGGAGGAAGAGCUCGAGGAGCUGGUUAACUUUGAGCGGUAUCGGGACCUUAUCAAGCGUCGUCGUCGAGGAUUCAGUGAUGAGCAAGGGCUGCUGGAUGUUGAUCACGAAGACGAAACGAAGACUGGCUCCUCUACAUUGGACAGGGAGCGUGCUGGACAGGGUGUUUACGCACAAGUUGGAUACUCAUACGAUGGAGGAGCCCGUGCUAGUGACGAUGAAGAUGCUGUCGAAGAUGAAGAGGGCGAUUUGGAAAGCAGCAGCGGUGAUAGUGAGGACGAAGAAACUGACUGCAUCGGUAGAGACCACGGUGUGCAGCGGUUCGGCUGGCUUACACACAUGGAUAAGAAAGUUAAAGCGGCAGAACGUCGGCAGAAAGAAGCUGCAAAGGGUGACACGGCUAUGAAGCUUAGCAGGAAAGAGAGGCGGAAAGCUUCACAGUACGAAAGAGAUGCUGCACGUCGGUUUAUCUCUAGCGAUCCUUAUAGAGAGAGCGACUCGUACUCUUACAGAAAGCGCUCGAGAAGAUCGAGGUCUCGGUCUCGUUCUCCUCGGUCAAGGCGGCAUGGAUACUCCGAUAGAGCCCGCAAGUCCGACUCUUCGCGCGUGGGGAAGAUUGAGUACAUAACGGAGUUUGGAGGUGACAACGAAGCGGAUGACAAGGGACGUAGCAGAGGAUACUCUCCACCGCCAUCGCCUCCUCCAUGCCAAGUUGACACUAGUAGUCGGUCGGAGCACUGGCCCUGUGUCCUUGCAAUGCUGCAGUUCUAUCCUGGCCCCCAAGGCAGCUCUUGGGGCCUGCUCCCGGUCGAAUACUGGAAGCCUUGCACGGUGAUCCAGCGACAUCAGUCGGGGGUUCUCUGAUUGCAGACGCGGAGAAGGGCUACAGAAAAGACCACAAAGUGACGCCUUUGAGCAGUACAUCAUCUGCUAUUGCAAAGCUCAGUAAACCUCCAGCUGCUCCAAAGGCUCAGCAAGCAGAGAAGAAGGAAACUCCACAAGAGCGGCUAAAGAGAAUAAUGAGCAAGCAACUCAACAAACAAAUUAAGAAAGACACUGUCUCGGAGAUGCUAAAGAAGCGAGAGCAAGAGAGGCAAAGACAGGAAAAACUCGCAGAGACGCGAAGAUUUAGAAGCCGAAGCCGCAGUAGCAGCCGGAGUCGCAGUAGGAGUCGAUCACCAUCAAGAUACUACGAUCGCAGAUAGUUUGUAUAACAAACGAGACGUUAAUAAAGUAAAGACACGACAUUUCGUUAGUUUGGUA